UUCGCUUAUGGCAGAUCACUCGGCUUGUGCAUCGAUGAAGAAGCUAGCUGUUAGAAUUAAUGUGAACUGCAGGACACAUUGAUCAUCGACACUUCGAACGCACUUGCAGCCCCGGGCUCUUCCCAGGGCUACGCCUGUCUGAGCGAAG
rnacentral:rRNA from 1 species